rnacentral:rRNA from 1 species
UUUCCGAGCUUCACGCGCCUGGUCCUGCCUGCCGCGUGAUUGAUGAACGCCUUAGGGUUGUAAAGAUCUUUCAGGUGGGAAGAUAAUGACGGUACCACCACAAGAAGCUCCGGCUAACUCCGUGCCAGCACCCGCGGUAAUACGGAGGGAGCUAGCGUUGUUCGGAAUUACUGGGCGUAAAGCGUACGUAGGCGGAUUAUUAAGUCAGAGGUGAAAUCCCGGGGCUCAACCCCGGAACUGCCUUUGAUACUGGUAGUCUAGAGGUCGAGAGAGGUGAGUGGAAUUCCGAGUGUAGAGGUGAAAUUCGUAGAUAUUCGGAGGAACACCAGUGGCGAAGGCGGCUCACUGGCUCUAUACUGACGCUGAGGUACGAAAGUGUGGGUAGCAAACAGGAUUAGAUACCCUGGUAGUCCACACCGUAAACGAUGAAUGCUAGUCGUCAGGGGACUUGUCCUUUGGUGACGCAGCUAACGCAUUAAGCAUUCCGCCUGGGGAGUACGGUCGCAAGAUUAAAACUCAAAGAAUUUUCCCGGGGG